rnacentral:rRNA from 1 species
UGGGGAAUAUUGCACAAUGGGCGCAAGCCUGAUGCAGCCAUGCCGCGUGUAUGAAGAAGGCCUUCGGGUUGUAAAGUACUUUCAGCGGGGAGGAAGGUGUUGAGGUUAAUAACCUCAGCAAUUGACGUUACCCGCAGAAGAAGCACCGGCUAACUCCGUGCCAGCAGCCGCGGGAAUACGGAGGGUGCAAGCGUUAAUCGGAAUUACUGGGCGUAAAGCGCACGCAGGCGGUCUGUCAAGUCGGAUGUGAAAUCCCCGGGCUCAACCUGGGAACUGCAUUCGAAACUGGCAGGCUAGAGUCUUGUAGAGGGGGGUAGAAUUCCAGGUGUAGCGGUGAAACGCGUAGAGAUCUGGAGGAAUACCGGUGGCGAAGGCGGCCCCCUGGACAAAGACUGACGCUCAGGUGCGAAAGCGUGGGGAGCAAACA